rnacentral:lncRNA from 1 species
CGAAAACAGUACUUAAGCAACCUGAAUUAUUUACUUAUAUUUUGUUCUGUUUUUAAACAAUUUUUGCUUUCCCUUUAUCACCAGAGGAUUUUCCCAACAUUUUGGCCUCUUGUCUUUUUAAGGUGGACUUCCUGAUCUCCAAAUGUCAAGGGACACACUCAGUCUCUCUUAUUUGUGGGUGGUGAAAAACAUUAGCAAAGAUUAGACUGAAAUUUGG